rnacentral:rRNA from 1 species
AUUGAACGCUGGCGGCAGGCCUAACACAUGCAAGUCGAGCGAGCGGCGGACGGGAGAGUAAUGUCUGGGAAACUGCCUGAGGGAGGGGGAUAACUACUGGAAACGGUAGCUAAUACCGCAUACAUUCAGAUGUGCCCAGAGGGGUUUAGCGAGUAUGUGGGGUAAUGGCUCACCUAGGCGACGAUCCCUAGCUGGUCUGAGAGGAUGACCAGCCACACUGGAACUGAGACACGGUCCAGACUCCUACGGGAGGCAGCAGUGGGGAAUAUUGCACAAUGGGCGAAAGCCUGAUGCAGCCAUGCCGCGUGUGGGAAGAAGGCCUUCGGGUUGUAAAGCACUUUCAGCGAGGAGGCGUUACUCGCAGAAGAAGCACCGGCUAACUCCGUGCCAGCAGCCGCGGUAAUAC